UACGAGUGCUUCGAGCGUUAUCCGGAAUCAUUGGGCGUAAAGGGUGUGUAGGCGGCGAUGUUAGUCCCACGUAAAAUCUUUCGGCUCAACCGAGAGCUCGCGCGGGAAACGGCAUUGCUAGAGGAUGGUAGGGGUCUUCGGAACUCAUAGUGUAGCGGUGAAAUGCGUUGAUAUUAUGGGGAACACCAAAAGCGAAGGCAGAAGACUGGACCACUCCUGACGCUGAAACACGAAAGCGUGGGUCG
rnacentral:rRNA from 1 species